AUACGGAGGGUGCAAGCGUUACUCGGAAUCACUGGGCGUAAAGCGCGCGCAGGCGGCUUGAUAAGUUGGAUGUGAAAGCCUACGGCUCAACCGUAGAACUGCAUCCAAAACUGUCAGGCUAGAGUGUGCGAGAGGAAGAUGGAAUUAGUUGUGUAGGGGUAAAAUCCGUAGAGAUAACUAGGAAUACCAAAAGCGAAGGCAAUCUUCUGGAACACUACUGACGCUGAGGCGCGAAGGCGUGGGGAGCAAACAGGAUUAGAAACCCUAGUAGUCC
rnacentral:rRNA from 1 species